GCUCUCCCUCCCGCUCCCGGGCUCGGCGCUCUCCCGGCGGGCCGGGCUCCGGCUCCGCCUUGCGCACUUGCCGGGAGCGGCUUCCCAGUGCAGACUGGGGUUCGCUUUCUGCCUUUUUGUGUUUUGCCGUUUUCCCUGCCUUCCCCACCCGGAUUAAACCCUCGAGGCUGGAUCCCGUGGGGCGGGUCCCCCGCCGGCGUCCCGAGGGCUGCGCGGGAGGCGCUCGGCACCCCCGGGCUGGGCGGCCGGGCAGCGGGUGGGCUCGGAGUGCGGGGUCCGCUCCGGCUGCGCGCGCCGAGCUCCUGGGGGCACUGGUAGGAAUUAAUGAGUUGUUUCUCGCCCCCGGGGCACCCCCAGUGCCUGGCACUCAGCGGGCGCCCGGUAAGUAUUUGUUGAAUGAAGGGGCAGUGGACGUCUGAGUUCACCCCCUGGAGCUUGAACUGACACCACGAGAGCCGGAAGGCGGACUCCGGGGCAGACGCGAUCUCCCGCGGCCGCCGCUGAGCGCCUGCAAAGCAGGGAGGAGUCCCGAGCUGAAGAAAUUCAAACCCUCAGGCUCAAGGGAGAAGUCCUCCGAGAGACCUCCCCUUUCCAACAGACCAGCAUCCGUACGGAGAAGGGACCUGGCACAGCCACGUCUUUUUCGUUCCCUGUAGUGUUUGGACAAAGAGCCCAAACGCAGAGCCUGCUCGUUUGAACCGCCUGCCCUAGGCUCCUGUGGGCACCCUUUGGAAGUCGCCUCCCGGAGCUCACUCUUUCCUGGAAAGACCUCAAGAAUGGAGAUUGGCUCUGAGUCCGGGGUGGAGUGGGGGGCUUGCUGCCUCCCACGGAGAGUGAAGCCUCGGUAAAUGUUCCCCGUGUGGGAAAAUGCCUCUUGAAAGAAACUGUUUGGUCCUUGCAGUCUGUGAAGGUUUUCUGCCUAUUUGGAACAUGAAAGGAAGAUAAACAUGUAGAAAAUAGAGUGAAACUUGAUUGCGAAAUUAGUGCAUUUUAACUUUGAUAACUUUUUGUAAAGCCAGAUGUGAAACUUAAAAAAAAAGUUUUGUUCACAGUAACUCCUGGGGCUUACUUUCCUCUCCAUCAACAAAUGGAUGUUUAAGGGCCAGCCCCAGUGGCUCAGUGGUUAGGUUCGGCGCGCUCUGCUUCAGCGGUCCGGGUUGGGUUCAAGGACUCACUUCUUCACACCUUCCUCAGCAACAACUUCUUGCAGACCAUUAGGAGCUGGAGCGUUU
rnacentral:lncRNA from 1 species